UAUGGGAGCUUGCUCCCGUAAGUUAGCGGCGGACGGGUGAGUAACACGUGGGCAACCUGCCUAUAAGACUGGGAUAACUUCGGGAAACCGGAGCUAAUACCGGAUAAUACAUUUCCUCUCAUGAGGAAAUGUUGAAAGAUGGUUUCGGCUAUCACUUAUAGAUGGGCCCGCGGCGCAUUAGCUAGUUGGUGAGGUAACGGCUCACCAAGGCCACGAUGCGUAGCCGACCUGAGAGGGUGAUCGGCCACACUGGGACUGAGACACGGCCCAGACUCCUACGGGAGGCAGCAGUAGGGAAUCUUCCGCAAUGGACGAAAGUCUGACGGAGCAACGCCGCGUGAGUGAUGAAGGUUUUCGGAUCGUAAAACUCUGUUGUUAGGGAAGAACAAGUACCGGAGUAACUGCCGGUGCCUUGACGGUACCUAACCAGAAAGCCACGGCUAACUACGUGCCAGCAGCCGCGGUAAUACGUAGGUGGCAAGCGUUGUCCGGAAUUAUUGGGCGUAAAGCGCGCGCAGGUGGUUUCUUAAGUCUGAUGUGAAAGCCCACGGCUCAACCGUGGAGGGUCAUUGGAAACUGGGGAACUUGAGUGCAGAAGAGGAAAGUGGAAUUCCAAGUGUA
rnacentral:rRNA from 1 species